UCGCCUGGCCCCUAAGCCAGGAGCCUGGGGUGGACUUGGGAGUCCCAGAUCCCUCAGCUGGCAUCUCCUCCUGGGAAGGAAGGUCUUUCCUGCAGUCGGAGGAGGAGGGUGCUUCCUCCGCCCGGGUUGCGUUAGGGCGCUGGGAUGCACUAGGGCGCAGGAGCCGGAGGGCCAUCCUGGAAAGCGCCCACGUCCCUGGAGAGGGGGGGAGUGUCCGCUGGGUUUCUGCUUGCUUUCACCGGCGCGAGGUUCCCGGCACACCUGAAAUCCCCAGCAUUUCUUCUUCAGACUACUCCUGUGUCGGAGGGGAGGGGCAAAGGUUAGGGGGAGGCUAACUGAUCACACCUCCUCCUUUCUCCCUGGAUUCAAUUACAGUCUGGUUUGGGUACAGCCCUAGAAGGCGGUUCUGAAACCAAAGGGCUGCGUUUACUGGUUCUCUCUUCUGGGGUAUUUGGUGUCAGCAACAUUUCCAAAUUAACGAAGGAUAUUUGUUUCUAAUUAAUAGUACACAAUAGUUGAAACUCCUGCUCUCAAAGUGCAGGAGCAGCCUCAGGGCUUCCAGGGUUACCAGCCCUCCCUGCAAGCCCCAGGGAGGGCAGGGACUUCCCAGUGUCCCCAGUUGUGGAUAGAGACUUGCCCUAGCCCGGGUGCCUCCUGCCAGGCUGAGAAAGGCCCUCUUGCCUCCUCUGGGACCCUGCUCUGGGUAACUGUGUUCAGCGCUCUGCCCUAGCACCAAUCCGAGUUAUGUUGGACUGAAGUAUUGUGUAUAAGCUCUUCUCCCGUCUUUACCUGGGUGAAAAAUUGUGUGUGUGUGUUUUUCUGUAAUUACAAUGUAAGGAAAUCUUCCUAGGAUGGCUCAGCUGUAUUUUGAUGGGUUCAAGUUGAAAUCACAAUCACAUGUAUUAGUUCCUCACCUGCUAUGAGGGAUACACAGUGCUUUGAAUCUCUUUCCUUUUCUUCUUGGUUUUAUGCCCACUCCUUCCUUCUCCUGUUUCAUCCUUUCCAAACCCUUUGGUUUUGGUGCUUUGGUGCAACCUCAGGGGUGAGAGUGUCUAUUUCCUACAAACUCAAAAUGAUGUCAACAAUGGCUGCUCCCCUCCCAGAUUAUCAUGCCCUAAGAACUUUAAAGCAUCAUCUCAUUUAAUCUCCACAACAACCUCUUCUGGCAUCAUGAAUUCCCCCUGGCAUGGAUGAAAACCCUGGAGCUUGUUAGAUGACAUGAUUGUUGAGUAGCAAAGCCAGGGUUUGGACUCAUGCUUGUUGGACCCCAGAUUCUCAGCAUGAAGGUUUAUUGUUUUUGCAUUUUCAGGAACCUUCUUAAAUCUGUCGAGAGAGUCCCAGGAUAUGGUCAGUGAUUUUAUGUGUAGCAGCCCUGUAUGUCUCUGCAGCUUACAGGGGCCUGGAAAGAAUGCUGGGUCCAUGCAGAGUAGAAGCCCUGGUCUGAAUCCUCGUGCUGCCCCUUGCUGACAGUGUGACUUUAGGCACAAUUCUAAGCCUCACCUUGCCUCUGUUUUCUGAAAAUGGAGAUCAUACUUAGACCUACCUUAUGGCUUCAUGUGAAUGUUAAAUGAGAUCGAGUUCGUAGAGCUCAAGGGAAGUGCUUGCUACAUACCGGUUGCUUCCUUUACUACUAAAUCUAUUCAAGGAACUUGCCUUUAUUCUUACCAGGGAAUUACAUAAAGCAAGACCCUGGGCUACAACAAAAGUGUGGGUCAUUUUCCUAAUCUCUCUCUCUUACUGCCUUUUAUUUUCUGACCAUUUUAUUUGGGAAAAUUUCAAGCAUACAGGAAAAUUGCCACACACAUCAAUUUAUGUCAUUUUAGCCCCUGAAAUUUUUGUGCUUCUCAGUCCUAAGCUGCAAACUAUUAAAAGUCUGGCCAAAAGGCUUUCAAAUCAUCAAGGACUCUGAAACUUGUUUCUUGGCCCAAUAUGAGACCCCCAGUCUCUGAUCUACUUUUGCAUGGAUCCCCAAAUCUGUUUUCCCCCCACUUUCCCCUAUUCAAGUUUGAAAUCUUCUUAAAGCACUAAUCCAGGGUCCCACUUUGGAAUCUUGAAUCUGUUAAAGUGUGGGUCUCUGGACUCUUGUCUGCAACCAGACAUAAAUUUGAUUCAAGUGGCAUCUUUGGAAGACUCAAUUCCCAGGGGAUGAUGAAUCCCUUCCAUCACAUCUGGGAACCUCCAUUUAUUUAUUAAUGAUGUGUGAAAACUAGUACUAUUGAUUCUGUGGCAUAGCAAUUGCUCAGCCAAUGUGAUGCCAGAGAAUAGAAAAGCCCUCUUAAAAAGAAGUCAUGCUUUGUCUGACUUCCUCACGUUUAAAUAUUUUAUGCUGAACAUUGAAUACACAUAAAUUAAAAAGGAUUGAAAAGAGAAGAAAGAUUGCAGAACUGGUUGUUUUUAGUUAACGUUGUAUUAACUGCUGCCUUUCAUGUCAACUCUAGUUUUUAAAAUAAGAGAUACGCGAUGUUCUAUAGGAUAGUAACAGAGAAUGGGAGCUUUGAAGUCAGGCAAACUGAGUUCAAACCAGCUCUGUCCCUUGGUAGCUUUAUCACUGUGGGAAGACUGUGAGGUUCUCCACCAGUUGUUUCAUCUGUAAGAUGGGAUAAUAAUAGUAACGGGCACUUGGAAGAUUGAAUGAGACAAUGCACGUAGCACUGUGCAUGGCACCCAGAGUGCUCAGUGAACAAUAAAUGAAGGUCAUGAUAAAAGAUUCAAGUUCAUCUGAAAUAUACAAGUGAAAGGAGAAAGAGAACCAUCAUCACCACUUCCGUUUAUUCAUUGGGUGAACAGGUAUCAGUGGACAGGUAUCGAGUGCUUCAAAAUGCCAGGCAGGACACGAUUGGACAGCACCCAACAGCAUUUUGCAGAGAUUAUUCUGAGGUUAACAGGCACAGCUUUUCAUUGCUGCCAUUUAUUUGCAAAUUCUGGGUAUUGAUUGUCUAUACACUGCCUUCCUCCUGGGACUAUGUGGGGAAAGGUUUUUGAACCCUGGGAAGCCAUCUAGUAUUUUCUUGUUUGAGACAGAUUCUGAGACAUUGCUCUCAUCCACCUUUGACAGCACUUUCUGAUUAGCAGUGAGUUUUUUUUUUAAACAGAGUUGGAAAAUGUAUAGUGACAAUUCAGAGUGUUGAGAUAUAUAAAAAGAAAGCUUUCAUCCAAGUGUAAUUAAUUGAGGGAGACGAAAAGACAAGGUGUCUUUUGAAAACAACAACAGCAACAACAACUCAGGGCUUUUAAACGUUACAGUUAUCUAUGGUUGUGGUCAUUUCUUCAUCAAUUGAAUGCACCUUAAAACAUGAUCAAGAUUCUGUGGCAGGAGAAGUAGGGGAGAGGGUGGCCCAGUGGAGAGAGGAUACCACAGGGGGAAAUAACAUCCUUAUCAGUAUUGAGGUAGAAAUAAAUGCACUGUGAGAAGGAGAUUGAAAUAGAGUGGAAAACCCAGGUGUCAAUCUUUCCCUAAGCCCAGGGGGAGAUGCCUGGUAUUUAAAAGUCCAAGGACGUGUGCUGACUAGCAAGUAGAUUAUUAAGCUGGUCCAUGUUUCAGACUUAAUAAACAGUGUGAUGACUGAAGUAAUGUCAACGACUGGCGAUCUACAGAAAAGAUUCUUGGGGAAGGUUUUGUAUUAUUUUCAUCUGUUGGAUUAAAUAGACUCAUUUUAUUAUUUUGUUUUAGCAUCCUUCCUUUUUUCUUAUUAUAAAAGUAACAUAUGUGGGCUGGGAGUGUAGCUCAGUGGUUGAACACUUGCCUAGCCUGCAUGAAGCCCCAGGUUUAAUCCUAGCACAGAAAAAAAAAAAACCCCAAAUUACUAUAAAAUAUUCAAACAAACAAAAACUACUAUAAAAGAUUCAGGUUCAUCUGAAAUAUAAAAACACAUGGUGAAAGAUGACACUCAUCACCACUCCCAUGUAUGCCUGGAGCAGAUAGGUGUUGAGUGUCUUCAAAAUGCCAGGUGGUGUUCCAGGGGCUGGGGACACUGGAGGCUCCAGGCCAGCAGCUCAGAGGAAUGUGCUUGUGUUGGGCCUGAGGACUAAACAGAGUCUCAGAGGGCGGAGAGGGAAGAGAAGGGCAUCUCAGGUGAGCUGCCAGCAUGGGGCAGGCGGGUGGAGGUUCCAAAGGCCAGAGUCCACGUACUGGGUUUUGUUUGUUUGUUUGUUUUGCUGUUUCUUUUGCUCUCGGCAUAGAGAGAUCUGGGUCUGUUGGCUUUUGCAGGAGUGUCUGGUGAACCACCGGCUGGCUCCCUGGUUGAGCACGAGGGUUGGAGGCCAGUACAGAUAGAGGCUCUCCUUUGGUGUAGCCUCUCAGAGCACCUCUCAAGAGGUCCCCCGAAGAGGCCCAGCAUCCGAUCCAUUCAUUCCUUCGCUGCACGCUUGCUGAACAGCCUCGAGCAUUGCUAUGUGCUAGCUUCAGGGGUCCAGAGCCAGAGAAGGCCCAGCACCCACCCUCAGGAGUCUUUGAUUGUGUUCCAGCCCACCCUCUGCUGCUGCCCAGGGUGUGAUCUUGGGCGAUUGGCCUAACAUCCAUAAACCUCAGUGACCUCAUCUGUAAAAUGAGUAAAAUGAGGAUGGCAAAGCAUGACUUAUGGGGCCCUGAAUAGCACUGAGGCUGACGGUGUUAAGGUUCAGCUCAGUUUAGCUGUUAACAUUUGUUAAGAAAGGCCUCCUGGACUGGGUGGAAGGAGCAGGUGAUCAAAGUCUGAGUGAGAGGUGGCCCUGUCAUUGAAGAGCAGUGUCUCCCUAGGUUCUCUAAAUCCAAGGUGGAAAAUGACUAUAGUGGAUAGCAGGAAUUAUUCUGUUCAUAAAAAAAUUCCCAAACAGGACCAAAUCCUUGCUUUCUGUCUUGAUCUCUGUCUCCCUGUCUGGGAGUGCCGGUGACCAGCUGUCCACGGCUGCAGGAUCCAUCCAUCUUUAUCCUCUUUAAAUAGACAGCAAAGUGGCCCCGGAGCACAUCCUGGUGGUUAAAACCAGUGCGCAGGACAUCCUCAAGAGCAGCCAGCUGGGGUCCUGGGUGGCUGGGCUGGAUUCCAGGAGCAGAGAGGCCCAUUUUCCUAGGGAUCAGUCCUUUGUUAUUUCUCAAAGGCUUACCCAGAGGUGGGCUGAGGUUAGCUUCAUUUGUCUUCUCUACUGAGAUAAAAUAAUAAUAACCAGAAGAAUGAAGUACCAUAUUCAAUACACAAAAUUAACUGCCAACUGUUUUAAGGUGUACGAUUUACUAGUGUUGAGUACAUUUACAAUGCUGUACAGCCCUUACCUCUGCCUAGUUCCAAGACAUUUCUUCAGCCCAAAGGAAACCCCGCACCUGUUAAGCAGUCCCUGUAGGAAACAGGCUCCUUUUCUUCAUCAGCUGCUGGGUUCAUGGUUGAGAUCCCUCUGACAAAAAACACAGAUUAACAAAAGAAAAGCAAGACAGAUUUAUUUAAUACAGGUUGAAUAUUCCUUGUUCAAUAUAUUUGGGACCAGAAAUAUCUCAGAUUUGGGAUUUAUUUUUUUUUUUCAGAUUUUGGAAUAUUUGCCUAUACAUAAAUGAGAUGCCUUGGGAAGGGGACCCAAGACUGAAUGCCAAAUUCAUUUUUUUUUUUGGUAUGUGCCUUAUACACCCAGCCUGAAGGCAACUGAUUAUAAUAUUUUUGGUGCACCUGUGUUUUGAAUGUGACCCAUCACGUGAGGUCAGAUGUAGAAUUUUCCACUUGUCGCGUCAGGUCGGUGCCAGAAGAUUUCAGAUUUGGGAGCAUUUUGGGUUUUGGAUGACAUGAGAACCUUUGGAAGUGGAACCCCAAAGAAAAGGGCAAUGUUUAUAUUUGUAUGGACAGCUGUGCAGAUACUUCCAGUACGAGGGACUAAAGGGGAUGAUAUAAUGGGAAUAAACUGGAAGGAACUUAGCAAGACCUUUA